rnacentral:lncRNA from 1 species
CCGACAGCAGACUGAGGUGGCGCGCCGACACGAGGCGCGGAUGAAGCGCCUGGAGGAUCUACUUCUGCAGCAGGCAGCAGCUUCUAGGGAGACACAGGGCCCUACACCGCCAGCACCAGUUGUGGACGUUGCACCGAGAGCGCCGUCCCCCGCGCCCAGUUCUUCGCGUGCGGCGCCUGCGGCCGUACCCCAGGAGGAGGUUUUGGCGGCACCACCUGUGCAAAGGCCUCCGGUUGGAGCUGCUUUUCCUACUUUGGUUGAGGGGGCGGAGCGAGACAGACUGAUGGAGCGCCUCAAUGAGUUCAGGAGGUGCAGUCCCCGAGUCUUCGAUGGCGAGAAGGUCG